rnacentral:misc_RNA from 1 species
GAUGAAGAACGUAGCGAAAUGCGAUACUUGGUGUGAAUUGCAGAAUCCCGUGAACCAUCGAGUCUUUGAACGCAAGUUGCGCCCGAAGCCAUUAGGCCGAGGGCACGCCUGCCUGGGCGUCACACGUCGUUGCCCCCCCAUCUACUCCUUCGGGAUUGCGGGGGGCGGAUGAUGGCCUCCCGUGCGCCUCGUCGCGCGGUUGGCAUAAAUGCCAAGUCCUCGGCGACGCACGCCACGACAAUCGGUGGUUGCGAAACCUCGGUUGCCCGUCAUGUGCGGUCGUCGCGCAUCGAGGGCUCGAAAAAAUUGUCGGGCUCCGGCUCGGCUUUCAACGCGACCCCAGGUCAGGCGGGGUUACCCGCUGAAUUUAAGCAUAUCAAUAAGCGGAGGA